AGUGAAGCGGGAUGAGCUCAAAUUUAAAAUCUGGCUGGUUUACUAGUCCGAAUUGUAGUUUAUAGAAGCGUUUUCGGUGGCAGCCUGGGUAUAAAUCCUUUGGAAUAGGGUAUCAUAGAGGGUGAGAAUCCCGUCUUUGACUCAGUGCAUGCUACUAUGUGAUACGUUUUCAAAGAGUCGAGUUGUUUGGGAAUGCAGCUCAAAAUGGGUGGUAAAUUUCAUCUAAAGCUAAAUAUUGGCGAGAGACCGAUAGCGAACAAGUACCGUGAGGGAAAGAUGAAAAGAACUUUGAAAAGAGAGUUAAACAGUGCGUGAAAUUGUUGAAAGGGAAACGUUUGACACCAGUUAUGCGGGUGGAAAAUCAGUCUUUUGCAAUGGGGAGUUGUGGGCGUUCAGACCGCAAGGCUGGCGUUUGCUUCAUCUUUGUUGUAAGUGAUGCACUUUUUCAUUUGCAGGUCAACAUCAGUUUGCUUUGCUGGACAAAACCCCAAGGGAAGGUGGCAGCUUAGGCUGUGUUAUAGCCCUGGGGCGAUACAGUGGAGUGGACUGAGGUUUCGCAGUGUGUGCUCUCGGGCAAGGCUGACUGGGUGCUAUGGGAUCGUUCGGCGUACAAUGCAUGCAUUUUGCGUCGUGUCUUUUUUAUACUCGCUCAACUCGGCUCUUCCACACUUAGGAUGUUGACUUAAUGGUUUUAAACGACC
rnacentral:rRNA from 2 species